rnacentral:rRNA from 1 species
GCUUGUCUCAAAGAUUAAGCCAUGCAUGUGUUAGUACAGCCACAAUCAAUUGGCAAAACUGCGAAUGGCUCAUUACAUCAGUUAUAAUUUACAUUUCCCCAAUCAACAAUCUACAUGGAUAUCCGUGGUAAUUCUAGAGCUAAUACAUGCCAACAUACCCACUUAUUAGAUCCGAUGAUUCAUGAUAAUCUCUUUAGACUAUUUUCAUAAUAGCAUCUUAUUCAAAUUUCUGUCCUAUUAACUAGAUGGUACAAUAGUUGUCUACCAUGGUCUCUAUGGGUAACGGGGAAUUAGGGUUCGAUUCCGGAGAGGUAUCCUGAGAAAUGGCUACCACUUCCAAGGAAGGCAGCAGG